CAAAAACAAAAACUGUAUUGGCAUAUAUAUAUAUAUUUCACAGUCAGCGUUCAAUGUAUGUCCAAAAAAAACUUAUGUUUAGUCUUAUUUCAUUGGUAUGUGUCAAAGGCACUUGUCUCAGAAAAAAAAAUCCUUAUAUACCUUGAUAUAUAUAGGAAUUUUUUUCUGAGACAAGUGCCUGUGGUAUGCGUCAUGAACAAGUAAACAUACGGUAUAUUAACCUACACAGAAGAAAUUGUUGUUGUUUUUAGUUGAGUCUUCGACUUUAGUCGAAAAAGCGAGACUAAGCGAUCCUACAUUCAGUCGGCGUCGGCGUCGUCGUCCACAAAUAUUCACUCUGUGGUUAAAGUUUUUUAAAUUUUAAUAACUUUCUUAAACAAUCCUGGGUUUGUACCAAACGUUGACAGAAGCUAGUUUAUGAUCAUAAGAUAGUAUUCAGAAGUAAUUUUUGUAAAAAAAUAAAUCCAUUUUUUUCCGUAUUUUACUUUUAAAUGGACUUAGAUUUUCUGCCAGGAAACAAC
rnacentral:lncRNA from 1 species